rnacentral:lncRNA from 1 species
UAAUAUUAAAAAGUUAUUUAAUUCGUAUAAUAAGGCAAAAAAAAAUUUACCUUCGGAGAGAUAAUAAAAAUAGUCUGGAGUUUAAUUAAAUCCUGGUUCUGUUUAUGAUUCUAGACAUUUUUAUAUCAUGUAAAAAAUUACUUCUCUUUGUUAUAAAAUAAAGGACGAGUUAAAAAUAUUAUUCCAUAGACCGUAUACAAUUACAAAAAUCGCAGUGGGGUGGAUGGUUGGAUGGUCCUCCUCCUACCAUUUGCCAUUAAAAGAUCAUUAUUCUCCCACACUUCCACUAGACGAGCAAUAAUAAGAGCACCGAUAUCCAUGUGUUCUUUCUUACUUGUCAAAAAAAAUCUCACAAACAAUCUUGUACCAAAUCCGAUAACGCUACAAGAAAACGACCGACAAACUAACUAGUCGAUCCAAACCGUCUUCUCAAAAUUAAUUCGAUAGUAAAAUCACGUGCCCUAAAAAUUAAUUCGAUAAGAAAAAAAUGGUUUGGUUAGGUUUAGCCAUUUGCGAUAAUAAGGACAUGUGCCCUACAUAAACAUCACACAUGUGACAUGUCUAAGAUCAUCUUAAAUGUGUAUAACCAAGUAAAAAAAAUGGAUGGAAUCAUUAGAUGCGUCCACUUAAUCUGAAACGUCCAAUCGGAUGCAACAGAUCUUUAUUUAACAAAUAUAAAAAUACAGUUAGGACCAUAUGGAUGCAACCAAUCCUAACUCUCAAUAGAAAAUAACGAAUGAAUUUAUAAUAAACCAAUGAUGAGUAAAUAAAUUCGAUUUUUUCACAUCAAUUCAGGUUAAAAAUUCGAUAAAUUAACAAAUAUAAAAAUCAUUAGAUAUCUUUUGAACAAUUAAAAAUUCGACGUCAUCUAAUCCUAAUUCUCAAUAAAUAAUAAUUAAUUAAUUAACUAAAUGAUGGGCAAAUAAAUUCGAUUUUUUCACAUUAAUUCGAGUUAAAAAUUGGAUAAAUUAAAUAAAAAAAUUCGAAAAAAAUAAUGGAUAAAUUAAAUUUUUUCCAUAAGUUUCGAAGAUUUAUUACAUCAUCAUUAUGUCAUGUACGUAUAAAUCAUGUAAUCAUCAUUACAUCAACAACUAACAGCUGCCAAAAUAUUAGUUGGCUUGUAACAUCACGUUAUAACUUGUAAUCAUAGGUGGCGGGGACCCAUCUUACAGUAACUAAAAUUAAUGGCGACCCUCCAAUAAUAUUACAGUUUUUUUUUUGGGUAAAUUAAUAAUAUUACAGUUAGACUUAGAAUUAUGAAUGGACAUGUGUCCAGUUUGGCUCACGUUUUUACUGACACGAACCAGAGUUUUGAAAUCGGGUUCGGGUCAAAUCCCGAAAACAUCUAAAAUUAUAAAACCUGGAUUCGAUUUGGAUGUCUGGUUUGGCGAAAAGAGAGAAGAUGAAAAUGAUAAUAAUAUUAAAGUUUAUAUUUUAAAAGGAGACGAAAAAUUUGUUAAAUGUGUAAAUUAAAGUUUUAAAAAAUUAUAUAUAAUAAAAUUUUAUUUAUAAUUUUCUUCGGGUUUUGUGUGUGAUGGAAAAAAUCGAAUGAAAAAAACUCAGGUUCGAGUCUUUGAUAUCGGGUUUCAUAAUCGAAAAUAUUCACCCAAACCCGAACAUGCCAACCCAUGGGUUUGAUCCAUGCCAACCCACCUUUACUUAGAAUAUCACCACUCACCAGAUUUCAACUGUUUAAAUUGAAUGGUUGAGAUAUACUGUUCAUAAACAGAACAGUCCCACCAACCGAUGUUUACAUCUUACCCGAUAGUCAGAACCAAGUACCACAAUCAAAAAGAAAGAAAAAAAGAAAAGAGUAUACCUACUUAAUUUUUACCCAGAUUUCGAAAACCCGAGUAGAAUAGUACCCGGUAGAUCUACUGACUUAAUUUUUACCCAGAUUUAGAAAACCUGGGGCUAUAAAUACCCGGUCGGGAUCCAAGAUUAUUCACAAUCAUCCAAUAUCGAUCUUUUUUCCAGUGAGAGGUAUUUGAUCAAGCUAUAAUGGCGGCCAGAGUUGAUUUGGAUGGGCGUCCGAUCAAGCCGAUGACGAUAUGCAUGAUCGGAGCCGGUGGGUUCAUUGGAUCUCACCUCUGUGAGAAGUUGAUGUUCGAGACGUCUCACACCGUCAUCGGUGUUGAUGUCUACAAUGACAAGAUCUUGCACCUUCUCGAACCUGCCGAGAAGGAAGAUUGUGCUUGGUUCGGGAGGAUCCAAUUCCACCGGAUGAACAUCAAGCAUGACUCUCGUCUGGAGGCGCUUAUCAAGAUGUCGGAUUUGGUCAUCAAUCUCGCUGCAAUUUGCACUCCGGCGGAUUACAACACCCGUCCACUCGACACUAUCUACAGUAACUUCAUCGACGCACUUCCCGUCGUGAAGUACUGUGGACAGUACAGUAAGAGACUCAUUCACUUCUCAACCUGCGAGGUUUAUGGUAAGACCGUCGGAAGCUUUCUUCCCAAAGAUCAUCCUCUCCGAGAAGAGGCGGAGUUUUAUGUUCUCAACGAAGAGGAAACUCCAUGCAUAUUUGGGUCUAUUCAGAAGCAGAGAUGGUCGUAUGCAUGUGCAAAACAACUCAUCGAAAGAUUGAUCUACGGUACAAUACUAUAAACUCUAAAUAUAAAACACAUAUCUGGAAUUUGAGCGUCAUAUAUAUAAUUAUUUUGCAGCCGAGGGGGCGGAGAACGGUCUUAAGUUCUCCAUCGUCAGACCCUUCAACUGGAUCGGCCCGAGAAUGGAUUUCAUUCCCGGAAUCGAUGGACCAAGCGAGGGUGUUCCUAGGGUUUUGGCUUGCUUCAGCAACGUAAUUAUUAAUCACUACUUACUUACUAAUUAAGUGGUAAAAAAAAAUGGUAAUUUGAAUUUGAAUUUCUACAGAACCUGUUAAGAGGCGAGCCACUGAAGCUGGUUGACGGUGGAGAGUCGCAAAGGACGUUCAUAUACAUCAAGGACGCCAUCGAAGCCGUGACUCUGAUGAUCGAGAACCCCGACCGGGCAAACGGAC